rnacentral:misc_RNA from 1 species
UGAUUUUAUUGUUAGUUUGGAGUACUGGUUCCAAUAUCCUGUGUUGUUUGUAGAAAAGAAGUGUGUGGUAUCCUUGAGAUGAUAUGAUAUACUCAUGGUUGGUAAACCAUCUUCUCCCUCUAUUUUUUUGUUUUAACACAUUGUACUUUAAGUUUGGAAGUUUUAGUUCUAUUUUCUACUUUUCUCAUCCUGUCCUAGGACAUUUCGAUUUUGGCAAGUCAUUCUUGUGUUUUCCUCUUUGAGAAGGGUGUUCUUUUCCAGUUCAUGUGGAUUCACUCAAUACAAGUCAUCACAAGAGUACAAAGUCACAUGUCGUCAUGUUCUUUUCUGGAAAGUGCGUUACUUUAAAUCAUGUGUUUGCUUGGCCAACUUGCUCAAUGAUUUAUAGGAUUAUAUGAGCAAGUAUUGAAAAACUCAUUUAUAAAUUGCAAAACUCCAGCUUUUAUAUUUAUUCUUCCCUCUUGCACACCACCAUCCCCUUCACCUCUCAAAAGAGGAAAAAAGGAAUAUGGUAUCAGAAUUGUUCCUUCCCAAAGCCAUUUUCCAGCCCCUCCUGUGGCUCUAUUGGACUUCCAGAGUGUUAUAUUGCAAAAAUUGUCAGUGUCUUCAAGUGUUUUUCUUUUACUACUUUAAUUGAUGCUAGUGUUUGUAUUUUAUAACAGCAUGUACUGCAGCAUGGAAAA